rnacentral:lncRNA from 1 species
UGCAUAAGCUGGGGCCAAGCUCAGAACGGAGAGCUGGGAUAUGGACCUAUGGGACAAAAGUAUGUCUGUAAAAAAAUUUUGUUGAUGAUUUGUUUUGUUUGUUUUGUCUGAAUUCUCUUCUUCUCUCCUCUUUGGACUUGCCCCUUAGGUCUUCAGCGGUACCCAAAAAGGUGGAUAUUCUUGAGGGCAUACAUGUUAUGAGGUAUUAAUAAUCGGUUGUUCACCCAUUUUUACCUAUCAUGCUUCCUUCUGUGAAUGUUGCAUAUUCUACAUUACAUCUUGUAAGUUAAACAUUUUUUCAUUAGUCAUAGUUUGUUGGAUAUAAUAUGGCUACCUCCCUACAGGUUUAACUUUUUUACACCCAACACUUGUUUUUUAGAUUACAGUAACCUCCCUUAAAGUUUAUUUUAUCAUUACACUUAUGGCCUUAUGAGCAAUGAUCGAAGUUAAACAGGGGAAGAGAUGGAUGUAGUUUUUGAAACACAAGGAUGGGUGUGUAAUUAAAUUAAACUCUGAGAAAUUAUGGUUUGAAGCAAGAAAUUUAUAAUAAAACAGAAACUGUUUUUAAAUGGUGUGUUACUGUAUAAUAUUUUACAUUUCUUUUCUUAUUUUCAAACAGUGUUGCCUGUGGUAUGGCUCAUUCCAUGGUUAUUGUUGAUAGAACAAAUGUUGCAGAUCAACUUGAGCAGGUAGCUCUUAAACCUACAACCCUUUUGAUUAUCUGAGGAAUACAUUGGCAAAUGAUAACCAUAUUGAUCUUUCAAAAGGAUUAAAUGAGUUUUGAUUAAAUGAGACAUGUUAUGAUUUAUGGUUGUAUACUACAUUUUCUUAGAAAUGGUUGAUCACAGUGAAUAUAUUAGUGCCAUAAGUUAUAUAGUGUUGAUUGUAACAGAAAACUUCACAUGCUUUUUAGUUAAAUUAUGUUUAGUUAUUUCUUGCUUUCUAUUUAUUGUAGUUUUCUUCUUUGUCAUUCUCUUCAAUUUCUUAUGCAUCGCUUGUCCCAUGUAGUUUACCUUCUAAAUUCCAUUUUGAGACAAAGUAAACAGGACCUAAAUUCUCAUUUCCUGCUGCUUGGUGUAUAUGAUGUAACAGCUAUUGGCGAAGUGCCUAAGCUGACUGCAAAAAAGGGUGCAAAAGGAGUUGACAAUUCAAAGAAGAGGAAAAUGCAAAAGAUUCAUCUGACGAGGAAGAGGAUGAGUAUGCUGAAGAAAGUGACGAUAGUGAUGACGAUCAAGUUAAUGGCGAGGCUGAGGUAAAAUGGGCAGGUAGAGGCCGAGGCAAGGCUACAUACAGUAUCCAAAAAUAGCAGCUCCGGCCAAGGCCGAGGACGAGGUCGCACUCCAGCGUCCACUCCAGCAAAAUCAUCUGGCAAGAGAGGAAGACCUCGAAAGUCGUCAUGAUGGGAGACUGACUUGGUUUGUUGUUGGAAAUUUUGUUGUCUAUACGAAAGAUUUGUAACGUGUAAUUUUAUUGGCCGGUGAUUUUACCUAAGCAUCUAGGAUUCUAGGUGUUAUUAAAAUAUUGUCCUGCCAAGUAUUUAGGGCAAUUUUUUUAAAAGCAUAUUAAUUUGCAGACAAUUGAAAUGUAGAGGGUGGAAAUGCUCACUUGUUUUAAUUUGCAGACAAUUGAAAUGUAACGGAAAAUCUUUAUUGCCACGGUUAUCACCUGUCUCUGGAUAUGCUUCUAUUUUGCUAAUGUAACGGAAAAUCUUUAUUGCCACGGUUAUCACCUGUCUCUGGAUAUG